UACGGAGGGGGCUAGCGUUGUUCGGAAUUACUGGGCGUAAAGCGCGCGUAGGCGGACCUGUAAGUCGGGGGUGAAAUCCCGAGGCUCAACCUCGGAACUGCCUUCGAUACUGCGGGUCUCGAGUCCGGGAGAGGUGAGUGGAAUUCCUAGUGUAGAGGUGAAAUUCGUAGAUAUUAGGAAGAACACCAGUGGCGAAGGCGGCUCACUGGCCCGGUACUGACGCUGAGGCGAGAAAGCGUGGGGAGCAAACAGG
rnacentral:rRNA from 1 species